CAUCCGGGAGGCGUUGAGUGCGGGUGAAAGUUCGAGGUCGUGUUCGCGCGCUAAAUGAUGAUUGGGACAGAACUUUUUCGCCUAGUGACAAUGCAGGAGAUUCAAGAGUUGUGUAGUGAUAGAUUGUGGUCGGCUUUGAAAGCCUCUGGGUUCGGAAGCCUCAGCGGACUUACGGGUUCAUUAGGUCGCGCGGCGGCCACGUGCAGCCCUGGGCGCUGAGUGGAGGCCGAGCGCGGGCCUCGGGCGCAGGUUCAGUGUCCGGAUGGCUCCGGGAAGAAAGUCAUUAGUUUCACUCUCUGUCACGUGGCCAUCUUCAGUCUACGCCGCCGCUGUUACAUAGCAACAGCGCGUGCUGAUUCCCGCCACGGUUUGAUCCAGCUGGAAGCUGAACUGAUGGUUCCGAUGAGUGAUGGGAAACAACCAGGUAUUAGAUCCAAAGUGAUGGGUGGAAACUUAAAUAGCAUCCUGCCGUGCACUGUCAUGCAUGAUUUUAAAUCUCAGCAGCUCGGGGAUUGAGUGUGGUGAAAUGUCUAUUUUCAAUAUAAGCAUGAAUGUUACCUUUAAGUAUGGUAUUUAAGUAGAAUAAGUGAGUGCUUCCUUGUUAUAAUUAAAUAAAAUGCUUGGUUCAUCCGGA